rnacentral:rRNA from 1 species
UAGCUAACGCAUUAAGUGCCCCGCCUGGGGAGUACGGCCGCAAGGCUAAAACUCAAAGGAAUUGACGGGGGCCCGCACAAGCGGCGGAGCAUGCGGAUUAAUUCGAUGCAACGCGAAGAACCUUACCAAGGCUUGACAUGAACCGGAAAGACCUGGAAACAGGUGCCCCGCUAGCGGUCGGUUUACAGGUGGUGCAUGGUUGUCGUCAGCUCGUGUCGUGAGAUGUUACGUUAAGUCCCGCAACGAGCGCAACCCUCGUUCUAUGUUGCCAGCGGUUCGGCCGGGGACUCAUAGGAGACUGCCGGGGUCAACUCGGAGGAAGGUGGGGACGACGUCAAAUCAUCAUGCCCCUUAUGUCUUGUUCUUCACGCAUGCUUCAAUGGCCGGUACAAAGGGUUCCGAUACUGUGAGGUGGAGCUAAUCCCAAAAAGCCGGUCUCAGUUCGGAUUGGGGUCUGCAACUCGACCCCAUGAAGUCGGAGUCGCUAGUAAUCGCAGAUCAGCAACGCUGCGGUGAAUACGUUCCCGGGCCUUGUACACACCGCCCGUCAAGUCACGA